rnacentral:rRNA from 1 species
GACGAACGCUGGCGGCGUGCUUAACACAUGCAAGUCGAACGGAAAGGCCCUGCUUUUGUGGGGGUGCUCGAGUGGCGAACGGGUGAGUAACACGUGAGUAACCUGCCCUUGACUUUGGGAUAACUUCAGGAAACUGGGGCUAAUACCGGAUAGGAGCUCCUGCUGCAUGGUGGGGGUUGGAAAGUUUCGGCGGUUGGGGAUGGACUCGCGGCUUAUCAGCUUGUUGGUGAGGUAGUGGCUUACCAAGGCUUUGACGGGUAGCCGGCCUGAGAGGGUGACCGGCCACAUUGGGACUGAGAUACGGCCCAGACUCCUACGGGAGGCAGCAGUGGGGAAUAUUGCACAAUGGGCGGAAGCCUGAUGCAGCAACGCCGCGUGCGGGAUGACGGCCUUCGGGUUGUAAACCGCUUUCGCCUGUGACGAAGCGUGAGUGACGGUAAUGGGUAAAGAAGCACCGGCUAACUACGUG